UCAUACAUACAUAUCUUCAACAAAAUAAGAAUAAUGGAAGCUAGACUCUUGUAUUUUAUAUUGAUGACCGUGUUUCUAUUGCUCAGUGUUUCCAAAAUCUGGUGGGAAACUGCUCAUAAACCGCAAGUUGUAGUUCUCACGACAAAAGAGUGGCUCGAUCUACUCUUCGAAACAAAAAAAGCGUUCCUUCGCAUCGGAUUUGACGAAGAUCAAGAGUAUUUUAGAUCUUACUUUGUGCUAUAGACUCUGCUAUAUUACACUACUACACCAUAAACAGACCAUAUGUCGGCAGAUUCGGGUUGGGAGCUAUACUGAAUCCGAAAGCCACAAACAAUAAGAUAUAAAUGGAACAAAACCCUAGUUUUACUUUGGCGUAUUUUAAACAGAUCUUCUCCAUCGGACGCCGUUCACUUGUUUUGUUCUUUCUUGCUUAAAUAUCUUUUUAUAAGUAAGAUACUAAAUAAUAUGUGCAUGAAAAUAUUCGAACAUAUCAUAUAGCGAUACAUAAUUUUCCCCCUUAAUAAUAUCCGACGACGACUAUCCUUAUGAUAAUAAAAUAAUAUCUGAGUUAAAUAAAAAUAUUUUGCUCGACUAAUGCGUCCGCUAAACACUCGUGCUUUCCUUUUAAAUAUAGCUUGUUGCCUAUUUGUCGGACAAUGUUUUAUAAUUGUUAAAAACUUUUAUAUUCAACAUUCAAAGUUUUAUAGUUUUCCAGAAGAAUCAAAAGUUACUGAUAUUAAUUAU